rnacentral:lncRNA from 1 species
GUUUUUUCUUGUUAACUUGUUCUUUUCAGGCUCAAAUGAAUUAGGGGGCUUGCUAGCUUCCUUCUUCAGCUCAGCUGUUCAUGGCCUGCAUGCAUGUUGGCAUUUUGAAGCAUACUGUAUCACUUCCUCUCCUGAUCAAAAUAAGGAUUGCUUUCUCUUCUCUCCUUCCAGUGGAGUUUGUGUUCCUCUCUUGGCUGAACUGGUGGCUGAGAAAAGUGAGACAAAACAGGCAGUCCUCAAGAUCUGGCUCCUCUGCUGCAGAUCACUCCUCAGAUGAAAUGUUCUGGAGAUCAAAAAUCCUGAAGGAAAGUCCUGUAAUGAAGUCAUUUGGCAUUUGUGGAAUGUGAUGAGUGGAGAAUGUUUCUUCAGAGGCAUUUCAUCUAUGCUAGUUCUGCACAGUGUGUUUUGAGGAUCUUUAAAGGCAAGACCUGGGUAUUACAGUGAAGAUUUAUUAUUACUAUUCUUUUCAACAGAAUCCUGCGGAGUUAGAAAACCCUUAGAGUCUGUGUUUGUUAGAAAUGUAACUUCAUGUCUCAAAGCUAGCCGUGUUUUAGCCUAGAGCAUAUUGCAGGUCUGGUUUCACCUGAAAGGCAUUGUUUAAAUCUCCACAAAAAAAGAAAAACAAAACCCAACCAACUGUGAGCAUGGUAUUGAGAAGACAAAAAGCAUAACAAAACCUAAUAGACGUGGGAUCAGAAAAUCAUUUUAACACUGUACUUGGGAACAUCCCUUCAGCUCUGUCCCCUCUAGAUUCAACCUAAAUAUCCAGUCUGAAAACCUGUAGUUUAUCAUUAGAAGAAAACAACCUGGGACACUCAGUAGAAGCCAGGCAAUUAGUAAUUACAUAUUUCUAUUGUUCUGCAGAUGUUUGUCCAUGCAGAAUGAAAGCUAACAAUUAUAAACUCAAUUUUAGAUUCAGCGUAUUUCAUUCGCAAUGUUUGUUUAACUAAAAGACCUGCCAUAUCCAACGGCAAAAUUAAUUUAGCUCAAUUAGAAAUGAUUUUCUGAGUAUAUACUAAUACCAGUGUUAUUUUGUACCUUUCUCUGAUAGUGAUUGAACUUGCUAUAUUAUUUUUAGUUGUCUGAUCAUUAAAGCUCUGUAAAAAUGACAUUUGAAGAAGCAUGACAGCUUCUGCCUCCCCUUGCCCCAUCCCAUCUCAAAGCAGACACUCAUACAGCCUUCGUAUUAUAGGGUGCUGCUUCACAAAAUAGAAGUCACUCUGAUCUGAUAUUUUCAUUUUCCUAGGGAUUAUAAGGUAAUCGCGUGUUAUUAUGUCAUAUAUUAUUCCCUUAUUCUCUUGUCUGCUUUAUGCCAAGGACUUUUUCCUUCUCUAACAAGAAAGCUGA